ACCUACGGGGGGCAGCAGUGAGGAAUAUUGGUCAAUGGUCGGGAGACUGAACCAGCCAAGCCGCGUGAGGGAUGAAGGUACAGAGUAUCGUAAACCUCUUUUGUCAGGGAACAAAGGCAGGGACGUGUCCCCGGAUGAGUGUACCUGAAGAAAAAGCAUCGGCUAACUCCGUGCCAGCAGCCGCGGUAAUACGGAGGAUGCGAGCGUUAUCCGGAUUUAUUGGGUUUAAAGGGUGCGCAGGCGGUCUGUUAAGUCAGCGGUCAAAGCCCGGGGCUCAACCCCGGCCCGCCGUUGAAACUGGCAGG
rnacentral:rRNA from 1 species